rnacentral:rRNA from 1 species
UACGGGGGGGGCAAGCGUUGUUCGGAAUUACUGGGCGUAAAGGGCUCGUAGGCGGCCAACUAAGUCGGACGUGAAAUCCCUCGGCUCAACCGGGGAACUGCGUCCGAUACUGGAUGGCUUGAGUUCGGGAGAGGGAUGCGGAAUUCCAGGUGUAGCGGUGAAAUGCGUAGAUAUCAGGAGGAACACCAAUGGCGAAGGCAGAUCUCUGGGCCGUAACUGACGCUGAGGAGCGAAAGCGUGGGGAGCAAACAGG